UACGUAGGGUGCAAGCGUUGUCCGGAAUUAUUGGGCGUAAAGAGCUCGUAGGCGGUUUGUCGCGUCUGCCGUGAAAGUCCGGGGCUCAACUCCGGAUCUGCGGUGGGUACGGGCAGACUAGAGUGAUGUAGGGGAGACUGGAAUUCCUGGUGUAGCGGUGAAAUGCGCAGAUAUCAGGAGGAACACCGGUGGCGAAGGCGGGUCUCUGGGCCGAUACUGACGCUGAGGAGCGAAAGCGUAGGGAGCGAACAGG
rnacentral:rRNA from 1 species